rnacentral:rRNA from 1 species
AUUGAACGCUGGCGGCAGGCCUAACACAUGCAAGUCGAGCGGAUGAAGGGAGCUUGCUCCUGGAUUCAGCGGCGGACGGGUGAGUAAUGCCUAGGAAUCUGCCUGGGAGUGGGGGAUAACGUCCGGAAACGGGCGCUAAUACCGCAUACGUCCUGAGGGAGAAAGUGGGGGAUCUUCGGACCUCACGCUAUCAGAUGAGCCUAGGUCGGAUUAGCUAGUUGGUGGGGUAAAGGCCUACCAAGGCGACGAUCCGUAACUGGUCUGAGAGGAUGAUCAGUCACACUGGAACUGAGACACGGUCCAGACUCCUACGGGAGGCAGCAGUGGGGAAUAUUGGACAAUGGGCGAAAGCCUGAUCCAGCCAUGCCGCGUGUGUGAAGAAGGUCUUCGGAUUGUAAAACACUUUAAGUUGGGAGGAAGGGCAGUAAGUUAAUACCUUGCUGUUUUGACGUUACCAACAGAAUAAGCACCGGCUAACUUCGUG